rnacentral:rRNA from 1 species
UACAGAGGUCUCAAGCGUUGUUCGGAUUCAUUGGGCGUAAAGGGUGCGUAGGCGGCGCGGUAAGUCGGGUGUGAAAUCUCGGAGCUUAACUCCGAAACUGCAUUCGAUACUGCCGUGCUUGAGGACUGGAGAGGAGACUGGAAUUUACGGUGUAGCGGUGAAAUGCGUAGAUAUCGUAAGGAAGACCAGUGGCGAAGGCGGGUCUCUGGACAGUUCCUGACGCUGAGGCACGAAGGUCAGGGGAGCAAACGGGAUUAGAUACCCCGGUAGUCCUGACAGUAAACGGUGCACGUUUGGUGUGGGAGGAUUCGACCCCUUCUGCGCCGGAGCUAACGCGUUAAACGUGCCGCCUGGGGAGUACGGUCGCAAGAUUAAAACUCAAAGAAAUUGACGGGGGCCCGCACAAGCGGUGGAGUAUGUGGCUCAAUUCGAUGCAACGCGAAGAACCUUACCAGGCCUUGACAUGCAUUGCUAAGUUGGUGAAAGCCAGCGACUGGAGCAAUCCAGACCUUGCACAGGUGCUGCAUGGCUGUCGUCAGCUCGUGUCGUGAGAUGUUGGGUUAAGUCCCGCAACGAGCGCAACCCCUGUGAACUGUUGCCACGGAACCGAGAGGUUCCAGCACUCUGUUCAGACUGCCCCGCUCUAACGGGGAGGAAGGUGGGGACGACGUCAAGUCAGUAUGGCCCUUACGGCCUGGGCUGCACACGUACUACAAUGCCCAGCACAGAACGAUCCAAGACCGCGAGGUGGAGGAAAUCACUAAAACUGGGCCCAGUUCAGAUUGAAGUUUGCAACUCGACUUCAUGAAGCCGGAAUCGCUAGUAAUGGCGUAUCAGCUACGACGCCGUGAAUACGUUCCCGGGCCU